GACGAACGCUGGCGGCGUGCUUAACACAUGCAAGUCGAACGGUAAGGCCCCUUCGGGGGUACACGAGUGGCGAACGGGUGAGUAACACGUGAGCAACCUGCCCUUGACUCUGGAAUAACAGUUGGAAACAGCUGCUAAUACUGGAUAUUCAUCGUCUCCUUCCUGGGGGGUGGUGGAAAGCUCCGGCGGUCAGGGGUGGGCUCGCGGCCUAUCAGCUUGUUGGUGAGGUAAUGGCUCACCAAGGCUUCGACGGGUAGCCGGCCUGAGAGGGCGACCGGCCACACUGGGACUGAGAUACGGCCCAGACUCCUACGGGAGGCAGCAGUGGGGAAUAUUGCACAAUGGGCGCAAGCCUGAUGCAGCAACGCCGCGUGCGGGAUGACGGCCUUCGGGUUGUAAACCGCUUUCAGUAGGGACGAAGGGUGACUGACGGUACCUACAGAAGAAGGACCGGCUAACUACGUG
rnacentral:rRNA from 1 species